ensembl:lncRNA
GUACUGUAAAAAGAAAUUAAAAUAUAUACAUAUAUAUAUAAAUAUAUAUAUAUAUAGAUAGAUUUGAAACAGAAUUCACAUCAUGAUGGUGCUACUCAACCUGCUACAAAUAUAUCAUAAUGUGAGCUAAGAAUUCAUUAAAGGUUUGAGUGAUGUUCCUACUUGUCAUAUACCUCAACACUAGUUUGGCAAUAGGAUAUUGAACUGAGAGUGAAAGCUUAUAGCAUUGUGUACCAUCAUUUUUUUCCAAGGCUUUUUUUUUUUAGUUAAAGAAAAACAUACCUUUUUCCAAUACUUGAUUUCUUAGCAAGUAUAACUUGAACUUCAACCUUUUUGUUCUAAAAAUUCAGGGAUAUUUCAGCUCAUGUUCUCCUUAUGCCAACACGUCACCUGUGUUCAUGUAAAAUUGUUGUAGGUUAAUAAAUAUAUUCUUUUUCAGGGAUUUAACCCUUUUAUUUUGAAUCCCUCCUAUUUUACUUGUCUAUGUCCUGAUGUAACUAAAACUAAUCUUGUAAAUCUGUUGGCUGUUUUUAUUGUAAAGAAAAGCAUUUUAAGAGUUUGGAAAAUCUUUUGACUGUUUCAAGCAGAAAAAAAAUUACAUGAAAAUAGAAUGCACUGAGUUGAUAAAGGGAAAAUUGUUAAGUCAGGAGUUUGGCAAGUGGCUGUUGGCUAGAGUCUUUAACUCUCUAAAUGAAAGAUGUUUUUACCCUAUAAUCAAUACAGGUACAGAUCCACAGGACUUUUCUACACAAGCAAACACUUAGGGGGAUGGUGUGCAAUCAACUGUACAAUUAUGUCUUAGUCUGUGCACAUUUUUGCUUACUAACAUUUCAAAUAAACUCUUAAUCAAUGGAGGCCUUUGAGUUUUAUUGGUCAAAUCUUAAUGGAUUUUUUUUGGAGGGGGUCAAAACAUGGCUUUUGUCUUUAAAAAAAAUUUUUUUUCUCUAGUUUUUGGCCGUGACCAGUUUACAAGCAUUUCAAGAACAUUUGCUUUAUAUAUGUCAAACUGCAUGAUUUGAAUGUUUUGCAUACGCCAGGCAUCUAACCCCAAACAUUUGGUUACUACCUGCCCAUUUGUUGGUUUUGAGUCAACCAUCCCUAGAUGAGUGAAGAUUUGGUUUCUGUACCAAUCCACUGUCAUUUGUCAAACUGCUGGCCAACAGCAGGAAGUCUAGUUUGGGGGGUUGAGGAGAGGCUAGGUAGGAAGGAGAAGAAAUUAAGUGGCAUAUUGUAAAUAUCAGAUCUAUAAUUGUAAAUAUCAAACCUGCCUCAGAAUGAAUGGAAAGCAGAUCUCCAAUUUGCUUAUAUAGGAAUAUCAGGUUGACUAUAUAGCCAUACUUGAAAAUGCUUCUGAGUGGUGUCAACUUUACUUGAAUGAAUUUUUCAUCCUGAUUGACGCACAGUGGUUUUCUGUUCACUUCCUGAAUUACUGCCACCUCAGUGGGGCUGAAAAACAGUUGCUUUUUAAAGAUACUUUUUAGAUGGUUAUUCUUAAUUGUAAACUAUAUCUACGGUAGCAUCCAAAUAAUUAAGGCCAAAAUUAUUUCUCUGAUUGAAUAGCUAUUCAGCUGACGUUUUUUUCAAGCUUACUUUUUAACCUACUCACUUUUCACAUGUAGCCAGUGUCAGGAAUGGAGUGACAGCUCUUCUGAGGACCUCAGCUGACCAUCCCUCCUCGUGUACAGUCUCAGCACCAUUAGUGACAGCAGGGACCCCAGAGUUGAGUUCACAUUGCUUAAGUCUAAGGCCAGCCCUUUUCUCAGAUUCUCAUUUUCCUCUUCCUGUCCACUCUUAAUGGAAAAUUCC